GAUGAACGCUGGCGGCGUGCCUAAUACAUGCAAGUCGAGCGAACAGACGAGGAGCUUGCUCCUCUUACUUUAGCGGCGGACGGGUGAGUAACACGUGGAUAACCUACCUAUAAGACUGGGAUAACUUCGGGAAACCGGAGCUAAUACCGGAUAAUAUAUUGAACCGCAUGGUUCAAUAGUGAAAGACGGUUUUGCUGUCACUUAUAGAUGGAUCCGCGCCGCAUUAGCUAGUUGGUAAGGUAACGGCUUACCAAGGCAACGAUGCGUAGCCGACCUGAGAGGGUGAUCGGCCACACUGGAACUGAGACACGGUCCAGACUCCUACGGGAGGCAGCAGUAGGGAAUCUUCCGCAAUGGGCGAAAGCCUGACGGAGCAACGCCGCGUGAGUGAUGAAGGUCUUCGGAUCGUAAAACUCUGUUAUUAGGGAAGAACAAAUGUGUAAGUAACUAUGCACGUCUUGACGGUACCUAAUCAGAAAGCCACGGCUAACUACGUG
rnacentral:rRNA from 1 species